GGAUGCGAUCAUACCAGCACUAACGCACCGGAUCCCAUCAGAACUCCGAAGUUAAGCGUGCUUGGGCGAGAGUAGUACUAGGAUGGGUGACCCCCUGGGAAGUCCUCGUGUUGCAUCC
rnacentral:rRNA from 15 species